CCCUAGCCCUGAUAGCAGCGGCAUCCUUUUUAGGCAAACGAAAAUAAUUUUAUUAAAACCGUCAACCUUCUGCCUAAAAAGAUAUAGCGGAUAGCAGGAACUUGC
rnacentral:sRNA from 1 species